UGGCGAGGAGCCGCCACUCUUCCUCCGGUCUCCUAUGCGUCCUCUUCCUCCUCGUCGCUGCCAUGGCAGCGGAGGGUGCAGGGUGCGCGCAGGCGGGACAGCGGAAGUUGCAGCAAGUUCCAGGGCCACAGCCUACCGAUUCCGAACCCGCAGCCUGGCCCGAACCCACAACCUUUGCCUAACCCACAGCCAUUACCGCAGCCACAGCCGGACCCAAACCCGCAGCCACAGCCAUUGCCGCAGCCUCUUCCACAACCACAACCACUGCCGAACCCAAACCCGCAGCCACAGCCUUUACCACCACAGCCUCUGCCACAACCACUGCCGGGCCCAAACGCGCAACCGCUGCCAUUACCACAGCCCCUGCCACUACCACCGCCGGGCCCAAACGCGCCACCGCUGCCAUUACCGCCGCCUCUGCCCCUACCACCGCCGGGCCCAAACCCACAGCCGCUGCCGCAACCGGAUGCCCCAGGCUCAUAUCCGCAGGUACAA
rnacentral:rRNA from 1 species